rnacentral:rRNA from 1 species
CAACGCCGCGUGGAGGACGACGGCCUUCGGUUGUAACUCCUUUUGGUCGGGACGAGGAAGGACGGUACCGAUCGAAUAAGCUUCGGCUAACUACGUGC